ACACUGGAACUGAGACACGGUCCAGACACCUACGGGUGGCAGCAGUCGAGAAUAAUUCACAAUGGGGGCAACCCUGAUGGUGCAACGCCGCGUGGAGGAUGACGGUCUUCGGAUUGUAAACUCCUGUCAUCCGGGAGUAAGACCUGGGAGUUAAUAGCUCACAGGGUUGAUAGUACCGGAAGAGGAAGGGACGGCUAACUUCGUGCCAGCAGCCGCGGUAAUACGAAGGUCCCGAGCGUUGUUCGGAAUCACUGGGCGUAAAGGGAGCGUAGGCGGCGUGGUAAGUCAGACGUGAAAUCCCGGGGCUCAACCCCGGAACUGCGUCCGAUACUGCCAUGCUUUGAGGGUUGGAGAGGUAGCUGGAAUUCUUGGUGUAGCAGUGAAAUGCGUGGAUAUCAAGAGGAACACUCGUGGCGAAAGCGAGCUACUGGACAACACCUGACGCUGAGGCUCGAAGGCCAGGGGAGCGAAAGGGAUUAGAUACCCCUGUAGUCCUGGCAGUAAACGGUGCACGCUUGGUGUGAGGGGAUUCGACCCCCCUCGUGCCGGAGCAAACGCGUUAAGCGUGCCGCCUGGGAAGUACGGUCGCAAGACUAAAACUCAAAGAAAUUGACGGGGACCCGCACAAGCGGUGGAGUAUGUGGCUUAAUUCGAUGCAACGCGAAGAACCUUACCUGGGCUUGACAUGGAUUUCUAAGCACGUGAAAGCGUGUGACCCUUCGGGGAACUUCCACAGGUGCUGCAUGGCCGUCGUCAGCUCGUGUCGUGAGAUGUUGGGUUAAGUCC
rnacentral:rRNA from 1 species